UCUCGACCGGGGACGACAGCAAUAGUGAAGGUCAGGCUGAAGACCUUACCGGAUUAGCUGAGAGGUGGUGCAUGGCCGUCGUCAGUUCGUACUGUGAAGCAGUCCUGUUAAGUCAGGCAACGAGCGAGACCCACGUCCACAGUUGCCAGCAUACCCUCCGGGGUGAUGGGUACACUGUGGAGACCGCCGCUGCUAAAGCGGAGGAAGGAAUGGGCAACGGUAGGUCAGUAUGCCCCGAAUCUCCCGGGCUACACGCGGGCUACAAUGGUUGGUACAAUGGGCAUCUACCCGAAAGGGGAAGGAAAUCUCUUAAAGCCAAUCGUAGUUCGGAUUGAGGGCUGCAACUCGCCCUCAUGAAGCUGGAAUCCGUAGUAAUCGCGUUUCAACAGAACGCGGUGAAUACGUCCCUGCUCCUU
rnacentral:rRNA from 1 species